AUUGAACGCUGGCGGAAUGCUUUACACAUGCAAGUCGAACGGCAGCACGGGGGCAGCCCUGGUUGCGAGUGGCGAACGGGUGAGUAAUACAUCGGAACGUGCCCGGUCGUGGGUGAUAACGUAGCGAAAGUUACGCUAAUACCGCAUACGAUCUGAGGAUGAAAGCGGGGGACCUUCGGGCCUCGCGCGAUCGGAGCGUCCGAUGUCAGAUUAGGUAGUUGGUGGGGUAAAGGCCUACCAAGCCGACGAUCUGUAGCUGGUCUGAGAGGACGACCAGCCACACUGGGACUGAGACACGGCCCAGACUCCUACGGGAGGCAGCAGUGGGGAAUUUUGGACAAUGGGCGCAAGCCUGAUCCAGCCAUUCCGCGUGCAGGACGAAGGCCUUCGGGUUGUAAACUGCUUUUGUACGGAAAGAAAAGGAUCUGGCUAAUACCUGGGGCUCAUGACGGUACCGUAAGAAUAAGCACCGGCUAACUACGUG
rnacentral:rRNA from 1 species